rnacentral:rRNA from 1 species
UACAGAGGUCUCAAGCGUUGUUCGGAUUCAUUGGGCGUAAAGGGUGCGUAGGUGGUGAUGCAAGUCUGGUGUGAAAUCUCGGAGCUCAACUCCGAAAUUGCACCGGAUACUGCGUGACUCGAGGACUGUAGAGGAGAUCGGAAUUCCAGGUGUAGCGGUGAAAUGCGUAGAUAUCUGGAGGAACACCGGUGGCGAAGGCGGCAUCCUGGACCAUUACUGACACUGAAAAGCGAAAGCCAGGGGAGCAAACGGG